rnacentral:lncRNA from 1 species
UUUUUUUUUCUUUAAGAACCAAACCACAGCCCAUGUACAUUUCCUCAGGGGAGUUUCAUAAAACUGUUUGUCAAGAAAUGAUGACUGUUUUUAAUUUGGACUUUCUGAAGCUGACCAGAAGAAACCACUCCUUCCCUGAGAGACAAAUCAGGAGUGAUGGUCUAAUCUAGUUAUAGUCAGUGGAUAAAUGGACAAAGGCUUUACUGGGGGCAACAUAGUUAUUGGUGCCCAUAUUUCAGGCACAAAGGGCAGUGAGAGCUAUUACCUCUCUGAUCCAUUCUGGAGACUCUUCCCUGUGCCGUAGGCCCUAGAACAGAUUCUGAUUACAAAACCUGUGCCAAAAAACUUUUUACGAACUUUUUGUUGCCUGGAAUAUGAUUUCAAGGUUGGAUGUGUGUAGAUGUCAGUGGGAACUGUCUGUGCUUGGCUUUGGAUAUGAAUGUGAACUAAAAAGAGAAUUUCCAUGAAGGAUCUAGGGAUACAGCAAAGGAGAAACAAUGGCUGUAUGCUUGUGAAUAAGUGGGUCUCAAGCUGGAUUUCUAUGAUAUAUGGUUAAUGUAGGGUAAGGGAGUGUAGAGGCAUGCAUUUAUUUAUACUCAAGAUAGUCCAACAUGAAGGUAUCUUGGGAUUAUAGAUUAAGUGUAGAAAAAGGCAUGUUCUGGAGAGGAUAAGUAUGAAGCACUGCAUCUGAGUGCGGAAGAGUGUCUUUAGUUUAGCAUACUUAUGUAAAUACUUAGGGAUAGACAGGCUGGUGGGAGGGGGAAUGUUCUCACAACUUAUAUUCUCUGCUAGUCAUAUUUGGUUUGUGUGUAUAUAUAUAUAUAUAUAUAUAUAUAUAUAACACACAUAUAUCCUCACUUAGAGUGCUUUACCAAAUACUAGAAUUCCAGCUAGAAUUAAUUGUUAGCAGCCUGCCCUCUGUUAGAGCUAAUGGGUUGCAGGUAUUGAUUUUUUUUCUAUUUCUAUUGAUUAGGAGGCUGCUGUACAUACUAGCCUUAGCAUAGCAUGGAAAGAGAAAGGGAGGCAAAACAGUUCACAUCGCAGCAACUCAUCAUGGUGGAAAAUUCAUCCUGGGUAUCUCAGUCUUCUCCAACUAUCUCUUCUGAGUGGAGAAGGAAGGCAUUCCUGUUUGCAGAAAUCAACUCUCAGGGCUCAUGAGAGACACUUUUUGUUUCCCAACCAUCUUCAAAUAUACCACUCAAUGGAAGAAAAGUUGUGUAAGAAAAAGGGAAAAAGGAGUCUCACAUGGAAAGCACAGGAGUUGUAUCUUCAAGACUCAAUCUGAAACACUUAUCUUGGGUACCCAUAGGCACCCAGAUCAUUCAUAACAGCACCCAGAUCCCACUAAAAUCAGCACAAACGCUUUCACUUUGGUGGGCUUUAUGAACAAGUUCUGGAUUUUUCAGUGUCUCUGCAAACUAAUGAACAUGUUACUUUUUAGGAGUGUUGCGAGGCUAAAUGAACCAUUUGUACAAGAUUUAGCUUGGAAGAGGACAUAAGUGGGAAAUUGAGGGACUUCUGUAUGGCAGCAUUAGAAUCUCAUACUUGGUGCCUGCCAGAGUCCACUCCUGUCUAUCACAAGAGUUGUUUUACUCUACUCCCAGGGUAGAACCCACACCCAUUUUGCAUGGAAAUCUGCUCAUUUUAAUUGAUAGACCUCCAUAUCCUGUAUCUCCCUUCUUCUUUAAUUUCUGGUCAAAGGGUUACUCUAGAGAUGACUUUGCUGUAGUAUUGAUUGUCUGAUGUUUAAACUGUGUUGUUGAUCUUCAACAGAAGAUGCCCAGUGAGGCUUUUUCCAUCUGCAUUUAUCUUCCUAUGUCUAUCAUCUCCAUCUCUAGCUCCUUCACCUGCAAUUCUCUGGCAAAACCCACAAAUCUUCUUUCCUUGGCUUUCGAGUUUGUUGAACUGGUCUAAGAAAACCACCAGCAUGCAGAUAUGAUGUGAAUAAUAUUUCUUAAGUGUUUUUGGAGCCUCUGCUUUGGAUGUCAGUGAUGACUGCUCUGAUCACCCCAUCUGCUUUUCUAACAGUACAGAUACAUGACUUUUUUCUUCUCCAAUAGAAUAUCUUACAUUUUAAUUCUCUUUAUACACCAUAUCUCUUUUCUCUCUUCUCAGCCCCAUUGGCUUCCAGUUCUGUGAUCAUAACCCUAACCCCACUUGUUUUUCCUAACAUCUCCUCUGCUGGUGCAUUUCCCUAUUAACACCUCUGCUCUGCCUGCAAAUGCAGUUGCACCAACUCUAUCUCUUUUGCAGCUCAUUACAGCAGCUCCUUCUCAGCUGGCCUCCCCAGGAUGAAGAUUCCUAGAUUCAUUUUUUAUACACUAUUGCUGUUUGAUUUUAUCCGAUGUUCCAAAGAGCUCCACUGCAGCACUCAAUCCACAAACACUAUUCAGUCUCAUUACCAUCCCGUGGAGUUGCUUCCGACUUUGUGCCCUUCAUCUCGCUUCCUGCAUCUUUCUCAUGCCCCUUUUUUUCCUACAGCACUGCCCCUUCUCUCCACAAAUAGCAGCACUCUUGGUUUGCCAUUGGAAGCAGACUUCCUGUGGCUCCCUGUCUCAUCAGCUUCUCAUUUCAAGUAAUUUAAAAUGUAAUUUAAAAUCUCUCUAUUUCCUCCAGACUAUUAAUUUCUCUCUCCUUACUCUUCUACAGAUGUCAUUCUGUGUUACACUUUUCAGAAGAUGCAACUGUUGUAAAAAUCGGCCACAGUGGUUUUACUCUGUAUUCUUGUUUUGUAUUAUAAUUUUUAAUUAUUCUUUGUAGGAAAAACCAAAUCUCAGCACAGCAUCUAACCACGGCACAAGCAGUCACACAGGACAGUCUGGCAUUUGCAUUGCCUUUGUUCCAUUCUUCUCCUGUGGCAUUUAGAACUCUGGAGGGAUUAUUGUGAAUGGUCUAAGAGUAUAUAUAAGUAGGGUAGCAGGAAGAGAAUUAUUUCUGGAAAUUGAGAAGUGUGAAGCAGGAAGCCAUGUUUAGUUCUGAUCCUGAGAUGCGCUGAGCUCUCAUAGGUCUGACUGCUCUUAACCAGAGAUUAUAGAAAUUGCUACCCUGCAAAUGUGUCCUUCUUACACUGGCAAUUUCUUUGGGGAGAACAUGCCCUUCUCUUGAUGUAAUUCACUAUUUGAGAGUACAGAGUAACUGAGGAGCCAACCUUCCUUGGAAGUAUGAGGUCCAGAUUUCCAGAGCAGUUUCUUGUCCACACAUGAGAUGUUUGUGCCUGAUGGAUUUAACUGCAAGAAUAGCCAAAUUAAGAUUUUUCUUCUUCAGAAUAUUUCAUACUCCUGGCCCGGACUUUCUAUCUUUCUUUGAAGAAUGAGAGGAUUUGAAUAUUGGGGUGGGGUUGGAAAAGAACAACCACUAGCCAAAAACAAAAUGCUCAGAGCCCCAAGAAUUAUUUAUUCUUCCCUUAUGCCUUCCUCUUCAAGGCCACUUCCUUCUUUCAGGAGAUAUAUAAGGGGAGGAGAGGUCCUUGUGUGGUCUUCCCUAGCUUUCCAAGCUAAGAGCCUCAUGGAGACUCCUCAACACAGGCCGUCCCUGUAGAGCCAUAAUCUCCCACCAGCUUAGGGGUCUCCUCCACAUCCCUCUGCCUCUCAAAUUCCUUUGCAACAAGGACAACAGUUCAGAGAGCCUGUCCACUAACUACCAUCUCCACAUUCUUGCAGCAGACAAGUACUAAAAGUCCAAACUACAAUAUGCACCUGCCCCCUUGUUCAUCCCCAGCUGUUCAGCAGCUCCAGGGUACAGAAAGAGCCCCCCCCCCCCCAGCUCCAGUGGGAGAGGGCAAGGCUAGAAUUCCCCCAGAUGAACUAGGUACAGUGUUUGUCCACAAAGAAUAUUUCAGUGAUCGCAGCCUGCACUGUCUUCUACGACCUUUCCCUUUUUCUGCCUUCCCUGGGGCCUCUUCUGCCUGUUGGUGGUGAUUUACAUAUGGCUGAUGCUGGACACUAUGAGUGCUUGCUGACCUCUACCUCGGUCUCAGCUGUGAGGGCUGCCUGGAUUGUGCCCUCCAAAUUGGGGAAAUGAUCAAGGGUCUGUAGAGCAGCCGGUGGCCCCUGAUUGCUUGCUAUAGAGCCCUUCAUGUCCGUGAGUCCUGGGACAGAUUGUCCUGGAAGGGCAGUCCCAGUCUGCACCCAGAGAGGGAGUAGGGAGAAGAGGUAACUGGAAUUAUGAAAUUGCAGCAUGGCUGAAGCUCUCCAACUGGUUCAACUUCCCAGCACCCCCUUCCCCUAGCGCUGCUCCCCCGCAUAGAGCAGCAGUGAACCUAAAGCAGAUCUUCUGGUCUAAUUUUUCACUGAACAAUGAAUCUGAUCAGAGAGAAACAAAAUCGGUAGCAUCAAGAAUUAGAUUAUUUCUUUUUUUUCUGAUUGUUGCAUUAAUGAGCAGCUACAUGUAUAGAACCAGGAGGUGACUAAUGUAAUUAACCUGGUGUAAUGAUACUGCUGAGGAAGAGAGGAUUAUGACAUACUUAGAUGUCAGUAUUGCACAAUUUUGUAUGUGUUCCCUGUACUAUUCGGUUGUGUCUGACACAGAAAACUUAAGCAGUGAUAGAUUUCAGUCUGCAUCCAUUCAGCUCAUGCAUCUUUCUGUGUAAAAUGAGGAUGUGAAAGGUGGAUUGCUUUCCCAGGGUUGAGGGGGUGGAGGUAUUCAAUUUUGGUGGUGUCUUUCCUUAACAAAAUUAUACUAAUUAUCAUAAACCGUCCUUUCUCAUGAAGAAUCUUCCCAAAAUGUCUGCUUCUUGAAGCAGGCGUUGGGAUUUCAGUGAAAUCCCCAAAGACAAAGUAAGAACAUGGGGAUCUACACAACACUGGUCAGGGGGAGGCACAGGGACGGAAAACGAGCAAUACCAAGACAUAUGCAACUUGCAGCAAACCCGAGAAGAGUGAAGAGCAAGCACUUAAAAAUCAUAACAACAGCAAUAAGAGCAGAAAUACAUGCUUAUUUUUAAAUUACCCUUCCACGUUACAUUUCACCCGCCUCCUGGGGAGACAAGCGGAUGACUGAAGUUUUGUGCGGGUCUAAACUGCGGUGUGAGGGUCGCACUCGCAGCUCCGGGUACCUACGGCGGAGAUGCGAAGGAAGCUGAGCUGGGGGGCGGCGGUGGAGGGGGAAAGGC